AUUGAACGCUGGCGGCAUGCUUUACACAUGCAAGUCGAACGGCAGCACGGACUUCGGUCUGGUGGCGAGUGGCGAACGGGUGAGUAAUACAUCGGAACGUACCCAGUAAUGGGGGAUAACUAGUCGAAAGAUUAGCUAAUACCGCAUACGCCCUACGGGGGAAAGAGGGGGAUCGCAAGACCUCUUGUUAUUGGAGCGGCCGAUGGCUGAUUAGCUAGUUGGUGGGGUAAAGGCCUACCAAGGCGACGAUCAGUAGCGGGUCUUAGAGGACGAUCCGCCACACUGGAACUGAGACACGGUCCAGACUCCUACGGGAGGCAGCAGUGGGGAAUCUUGGACAAUGGGCGAAAGCCUGAUCCAGCAAUGCCGCGUGCGUGAAGAAGGCCUUCGGGUUGUAAAGCGCUUUUGUCUGGGAGCAAAUCCUUGUGGCUAAUACCCACCGGGGAUGAGAGUACCAGAAGAAUAAGGACCGGCUAACUACGUGCCAGCAGCCGCGGUAACAC
rnacentral:rRNA from 1 species